AGACGGAGUCCCGCUCUGUCACGCAGGCUGCCAGGCUGGCGUACAGUGGCGCAAUCUCAGCUCGCUGCAACCUCCACCUCCUGGGUUCAAGCGAUUUUCUUGCCUCUGCCUCCUGAGUAGCUGGGAUUACUGGCACACACCACCAUGCACAGUUCCUUGUUCAAAAUGCCAAGAACCUGGAUGACUCAUAGUCAAGACCCUCCACCAGUAACAUAUAUUGGCGAGCCAGCCAGGAGCUUGGAACCCUCGGUGGACAGUGCCUAAGCACAGAGGCAACCACAGGUUUCUAACAGGGCCACUCUCUGGUGAAACUGAAAGGUUUCUGUGUGAAAGUGCCUGACCACCACUGCCCAAUUCAGACCACUACAGGAAACACUCCAUUUAUUCCACCUGACUUCCCACUUGGCUGCAUCCUCAACCAUUGAAAUGAAUUUGACCCUGAUAAUCUAAGGAGGAAACAUUUGAUAUUCUUUUGCAAUAAUACUUGGCCCCAGUAUUGUUUGGAAUCUGGAGUUUGCUGUUGAAUGGGAAAGCAGGAUGACGUUGCAUGUAUCCAGGCUUUGGUGCUGCUGUCCUAAGAAGGGUCAGGCCUAGUCAGCAUAUGGUGCUCUCCUUUGGUGCUAUUUGGCUCCAGUGUCUUUGGAGUCUGAGGAGG
rnacentral:lncRNA from 10 species